GACUCUCGGGCAACGGAUAUCUCGGCUCACGCAUCGAUGAAGAACGUAGCAAAAUGCGAUACUUGGUGUGAAUUGCAGAAUCCCGUGAACCAUCGAGUUUUUGAACGCAAGUUGCGCCCGAAGCCAUUCGGUUGAGGGCACGUCUGCCUGGGCGUCA
rnacentral:rRNA from 11 species